rnacentral:rRNA from 1 species
AACGAACGCUGGCGGCGUGCCUCAGACAUGCAAGUCGAACGCGAAAGUCCCCUUCGGGGGAUGAGUAGAGUGGCGCACGGGUGAGUAACACGUAGGUAAUCUACCUUCGGGUGGGGAAUAACAACCGGAAACGGUUGCUAAUACCGCAUAAUGCAGCGGCACCUAAUGGUGACAGUUGUUAAAGCGGGGGAUCGCAAGACCUCGCGCCUGAAGAGGAGCCUGCGGCGGAUUAGCUAGUUGGCAGGGUAACGGCCUACCAAGGCGACGAUCCGUAGCCGGCCUGAGAGGGCGGUCGGCCACACUGACACUGACAUACGGGUCAGACUCCUACGGGAGGCAGCAGUCGGGAAUUUUGGGCAAUGGGCGAAAGCCUGACCCAGCAACGCCGCGUGAAGGAUGAAAUCCCUCGGGAUGUAAACUUCGCAAGAACGGGGAGAAUAAGCCGGUGUCAACACCACCGGCGAUGACGGUACCGUUUGUAAGCUCCGGCUAACUCCGUGCCAGCAGCCGCGGUAAUACGGGGGG